rnacentral:sRNA from 1 species
GUGUGGGGACUUCAUUUUGAUUUUCAGUCUGAUCUGUUGGGGUCUAGGCAGGAGCUUGGUCCCAAACAACACACCCACGUGUGCUGAGGACAGGCUCCAGGGGAUUCUUACGCCCGCCUGCAUCAGAGAACCCAGGGCUUGUGGGCGAGGCAGCGUGGAGAGGGAGCGCAGCUCUGGAGACGGCCCCCAGGGCUUGCGGGCGGGCGGGCAGGCGGGCGGGCGAGGCAGCGUGGAGAGCGGAGAGCGAAGCUCUGGAGACGACCCCCAGAGGAGAUUGGCCAAGUGCGGAUGUACGAGUCCUCCCUGCCCGAGGCGCAAACUGUCUCACUCCAAAGGGCGUCCGGAGGGUUCUGCGGGGCGGCUGUGCACUGACACCUGCCCCCCACGUGGGAGUCCGCCGGCUCCUGGCCCUUGCCGGUUGGUGUUGCGGGUCUGAGAUGACGCCCCCGCGGUAGGAGCGGGGUUUCCCUGAUCACCGCUUCUUUUGACCAUCUUUUCUGGCAGGGCCUUGUAUUUUUAAAAUGUGUAAAGGUUAAGCUUUCUGAGAUCAGAAAAAGAAUAUUUAGUGAACCAUGUGAUUUAAGUCACUGUGUAUGUGACAUGAAAUAUUUAUACCUAACCCACUAGCAAAUGGCUCGUUAAACAUAUUUGAGAUUUAA